GAUGAACGCUGGCGGCGUGCCUAACACAUGCAAGUCGAGCGAUUUACUUCGGUAAAGAGCGGCGGACGGGUGAGUAACGCGUGGGUAACCUGCCCUGUACACACGGAUAACAUACCGAAAGGUAUGCUAAUACGAGAUAAUAUGCUUUCAUCGCAUGGUAGAAGUAUCAAAGCUCCGGCGGUACAGGAUGGACCCGCGUCUGAUUAGCUAGUUGGUAAGGUAACGGUUUACCAAGGCGACGAUCAGUAGCCGACCUGAGAGGGUGAUCGGCCACAUUGGAACUGAGACACGGUCCAAACUCCUACGGGAGGCAGCAGUGGGGAAUAUUGCACAAUGGGCGAAAGCCUGAUGCAGCAACGCCGCGUGAGCGAUGAAGGCCUUCGGGUCGUAAAGCUCUGUCCUCAAGGAAGAUAAUGACGGUACUUGAGGAGGAAGCCCCGGCUAACUACGUGCCAGCCGCCGCUGUAAGAC
rnacentral:rRNA from 1 species